GCCAGGCGUGGUGGUGCACGCCUGUAAUCCCAGCUACUCAGGAGGCUGAGGCAGGAGAAUUGCUUGAACCCAGGAGGCAGAAGUUGCAGUGAGCCGAGAUCACGCCACUGCACUCCAGCCUGGGCGACAGAGCAAGACUCUGUCUCAA
rnacentral:SRP_RNA from 2 species